rnacentral:misc_RNA from 1 species
ACUAAAUAUGAUUGAUCUAGUUUUAACCUUUUUUUUUAACUUUAUUUUUACCAGAAGUGUUGAACGGAAAAUAUUGUUUGUAAAGCCUGUUUGAUUGUACAUACCAGGCAUCCCUCAAGUAAACCUAUAGUAAAAAUAAUUUGUACUAUGUACAAGUACUGUGCUAUAUUUGUACUCUGUGACAGUUGCUAUGCCUGUGUUGCACUAAUCAUAAGGAUGGAAUUUUUUGAAUUUUAUUAUUAUUUUAAACUAUCUUCAAUGUAAUAACUGUUAUUCUAUUGUUCAAUAUUAAACAUAUGAUAAA